CAUGGCGUCAGGAUGAACGCUGGCGGCGUGCUUAACACAUGCAAGUCGAACGAAGCAACUAUCUUGCUGCAAGAGAGUUGACUUAGUGGCGGACGGGUGAGUAACGCGUGGGUAACCUGCCUCAUACAGGGGGAGUAACAGUUGGAAACGACUGCUAAGACCGCAUAACCCGCUAGUGUCGCAUGACACGGACGGAAAAUAUUUAUAGGUAUGAGAUGGGCCCGCGUCUGAUUAGCUAGUUGGUAAGGUAACGGCUUACCAAGGCGACGAUCAGUAGCCGACUUGAGAGAGUGAUCGGCCACAUUGGGACUGAGACACGGCCCAAACUCCUACGGGAGGCAGCAGUGGGGAAUAUUGGACAAUGGGGGAAACCCUGAUCCAGCCGACGCCGCGUGAGUGAAGAAGUAUUUCGGUAUGUAAAGCUCUAUCAGCAGGGAAGAUAAUGGCAGUACCUGACUAAGAAGCCCCGGCUAACUACGUGCCAGCCGCCGC
rnacentral:rRNA from 1 species